AGCUCCAAUAGCGUAUAUUAAAGUUGUUGCGGUUAAAAAGCUCGUAGUUGGAUUUCUGUCGGUGAGUGGCGGUCCGCCCCUUGUGGUGAGCACUCGUCAAGCCACCGGCAUCCUCCUGGGGACUGCGCUGCACUUUACUGUGUGGCGGACUAUCCAGGACAUUUACUUUGAGGAAAUGAGAGUGUUUCAAGCAAGCAUCUGCCGUGAAUACGUUAGCAUGGAAUGAUAGCAUCGGACCUCGAUCUGAAGCUGUUGGUUAUUUGGGUC
rnacentral:rRNA from 1 species